CUCACUGUUACGGGGCAAAACUCCAACCUUCCAUUAAGAAACGGAAUCUGGGAAACAUGUUUGGCUCUAAAAUUGAGCUUAAACAGGCUGCUUGAACCUCUUGACCUUGACCACAAAGAUUGAACUAGGAGGUUUAAAACACCAGAGACAGAAUUUAAAAUUUACUACUCCUACUACUGCCACCGUUAAUAACAAUAGUAAACAAUGUACUGCGUGCACGCAGCAUAUCCAGUUCUAAGAAGGAGUUUAUGAUCUCAUUGGAGAGAUAAGAUCUGCACAGUCCCUGGAGAACAUCAGGAUUGGAUACAGAAUGAAGAGCAGAAAUGGGCCAGAGGAGACACGGAAGUCCUGUGGAAAAUAACAAAAUGUUGCUUAACAUCUCAACACUCAAGAAAAAUGUGAAGCUGGGAAAGUAGACUUGGUGGUCUUCAGAACCUGCUGGUGCUAUGCUUGGUCUUCCACCACCACAGGGAAAACAGCCCCCCUCCAGCUUGCAAGGUUGCUUUUCAAGAGGCAGUCACCCCAGCAUCUCUCUACAUCAAAAUCUCUGCUAAAGCCAUGGCCCGGUGACCUUUCCCAAGCAGGUCAGCGAAGACUCUCAUAGCAUCACAGUUUGGGAGAAAAACACAGCCCAAGCCAGCACCCAAGUGCAAUGCUGGGUAAAUGCCUCUGGGAUUGGUCCAGGCCUGG
rnacentral:lncRNA from 1 species